AAAGUCGUAACAAGGUAUCCGUAGGUGAACCUGCGGAUGGAUCAUUAUCACGUAUCCACGUAUCAACCAUUGUGAACUGUAUUUUCACCUCUGAUAGGGUUUUGAUGGGAUUUUUUGGAAAUUCCGGUUUCUAUUCUUUCCUCUUAUCAGAGCGUAAAUCAUUAUUUUAUUAACAAUUUAAACUCAAAAUUUUAUACUUUUUGAACUGAUUUAUUUCUUACUCUUCGGAGAAGAAAUUUCAUUACGAAACAUAAGAACAACUCUUAGCAACGGAUAUCUUGGUUCUC
rnacentral:misc_RNA from 1 species